AGCGAACGCUGGCGGCAGGCCUAACACAUGCAAGUCGAACGAACCUUUCGGGGUUAGUGGCGGACGGGUGAGUAACACGUGGGAACGUGCCUUUAGGUUCGGAAUAACUCAGGGAAACUUGUGCUAAUACCGAAUGUGCCCUUCGGGGGAAAGAUUAAUCGCCUUUAGAGCGGCCCGCGUCUGAUUAGCUAGUUGGUUGAGGUAAUGGCUCACCAAGGCGACGAUCAGUAGCUGGUCUGAGAGGAUGAUCAGCCACAUUGGGACUGAGACACGGCCCAAACUCCUACGGGAAGCAGCAGUGGGGAAUCUUGCGCAAUGGGCGAAAGCCUGACGCAGCCAUGCUGCGUGAAUGAUGAAGGUCUUAGGAUUGUAAAAUUCUUUCACCGGGGACGAUAAUGACGGUACCCGGAGAAGAAGCCCCGGCUAACUUCGUG
rnacentral:rRNA from 1 species